GUGUUAAAUAUCAGCUAACGUUCAGUUAUAAUUAUAACAACAACAAAUGUUCUUUUGUGUAAUUUUUCUUAUGUGACUAUUGUGACUUUGUGAAGGUGUUUCCUUCUUUUCAAACGGGUUAGGCCGAGAUAACGAUUUUUUGUUUAUUUUCUGUUUCGGUGCGAGGUGUGCCACUACCAAGCUACAUAUUUGGCUUAGAUGGAAUGUCUGUGUUUGAAGUCAGGAAUCUGACUUCUAACCAAACGAUUGAACAGCCAAGCAAGGAACCUCUUCUUGGCAUAGGUCCCUCACUCCUUUAUGAUCAAGGGUGGUUAGAGCCGAUUUGUAUAUUUUGUGAUUUUGGGUUAACAGAUGCAAAGGAAUGUAAAGGUGUGAGAAAUUAAAGUGUAUGACUGUAAAGUGAUAUAAUAUAGAGAACAAUAACGUAAAAACAAAAAGGCAAAAGCAGAAAGUAAAUAGGCUUGAAGAAAAGUGCGAUAAAAAUAAACGAACGUGAAUUAAAAGUAAAUAGAAAUAACAAGAUAAAAAGAAGUGCUUAGACUAUCUAAUUGGAAUGCAAUGUAAUCAAAUUUGAAGGUAGGAGCAAGCUCCAACUGAUAAGUCAAUCCUAUGUGGAUUGACAUAUGAGUUUUCAUAUAUCAAAUUUGACAUAUGAGAAAAGGUGGUGUCAAAUAAUUUUUCAUUAUUUAAUUGUGUGGGUCCCAUUAAUGCACCAAUUAUAGAUCUUGAAAAUUUAUCUUAAUUGAUUUAUUUUUAAAAUAUGUCCUACAA
rnacentral:lncRNA from 1 species